GAAGCGGAAGGCCAAGGCACGCCCUCGAUUGUGCUUCGCCCCGCCUCCGGGGCGUGGCCACACGUAUCCGCACGGGCAGGCUCUCAGGCGGCUGGUCUGCGUCACAAGAAUGGGGCGGGGUCUUUCUUAUACCAACCGAAAACAUAGAGAAUCUUCAUGCCGCUUUAGUUCAGUGUUUAUGCAAAUAAUGCAUUUCUUAUCAUUGCACUCACUUCGCAACACCUACCGUAAUAAGUGACAGACUAAUGAAUACAACUGUUCAGUUAUUUCAUAGUUUGUUUCCAGCGAGAAGAAGUUUCUUGUUCUCUUCCCCCGACCCCAUUUUCUCCUCACAACAGCGUUGUAAAGAUGCAGGGGAGGCUGUCCUGAAUCAGUGCUUGGAUGCAGUGUGAAUAAGCUGAGACUCAAUCCAGACAAGACAGAAAGUACUGCUGGUUGGUGGUUCCUCUGCCCAGAUAAGGCUUGCUCUGGAAUAUGAUGUUAGAGACCACACACACCCGCUUUCAAAAGCUUUACUCUACUACUAAAAGGAUGCAGCCAAGGUCCCAAGAGGGGAGACGGAGGAGAGUGCAGGAAGUGGUCCAGCUACACCAAAGACCAACUGGCCAUCCUGAUCAGAGCCUUUGAGGAGGAUCCCUAUCCAGGGUUCUCCCACAUGGUGGAGUUGUCCUGCCUUAUUGGCAUCCUGGAGACUUGCAUCCUACCCAGAUCUAGUUCCAAAACAGAUGGUCCAAAAAGCCAGAACACCUUCAUAAGGCCACAAAGAAGCUUGGAAGCAGGGAAAGGCUCCCUCAGCAUAACUUCUGCUCUUGGGACCAGCCAAGUAAUGCAACUGCUCCAGCACAAAGUGUUGCCAACAUGCUGGGCUUUCCAGGAACAAACUGGAAUCUAGUGGAAGACAGGAGGCAGUAUUGGGAUAACAUCCCCUAUCAGAACAGCAGCUCCUUUGUAAGGACAAUCUCCUUUCCAAACAUCAAUCUAUAGAUUUGCUGGUGGGGCUACAGGCACCAGAGGAUCUGCUUUGGGAGCUGCUGGGAGUCUUCCCAUGACAGGCCAACCAGUCCAGCAAGGUGGAGAUAUUUCAGACAAUUUAUCAGAUUUUCAGGGAGAUUCAGAUCUACUGUGGACUCCACAACAAAGAUGGCAGACCUAUACACCAAACUCCCAAUACUCAACUUGACUAAGAAUUCUGUGGUGGAUACUAGACAUUUUGAAGUACUUGCAUUCUAAUCAAGGUGCAGGUACCGAGGGAAUGGCUUAAAUACCAGCAUUUCAGGCCAGUGAUCGCACAAUGCAAUUUGGGCAUAACAUAUCUGUGGGAUCCAGUAGUACUAUUACAUCCCCUUCUCCCACAGCACAAUGGCAAGAAGUUCAAGAGCAGAUUCUGCCAGUUCCUUUCCUUCAUCAUCCCUUGCAAGAAACCACCUAUAGGUCUGGCAUGGAAAACUGACUCAUAAGAAACCCUUUAGAACGGGUGUCUGGAAAUGACCAGAACAGACAGCACUCUUCACCUUCACUUGGCCCCUUUCCCUCUACAACUCCACAUUCAAACCCUUACUCGAAUAUAGAAUAUGCUUAAUAUAUUCAUGUUAAAGUGUACUGUAUUCAUAUUUAUCAGUGUAAUAGGUAUUUAUCAUAUUAAGUGUUUAACAUGCAUAAAAAUGUUUUGUUGACAA